rnacentral:rRNA from 1 species
AACGAACGCUGGCGGCAGGCCUAACACAUGCAAGUCGAACGCACCGCAAGGUGAGUGGCGCACGGGUGAGUAACACGUGGGAACGUACCCUUUUGUUCGGAAUAACGUUUGGAAACGAACGCUAAUACCGGAUACGCCCUUAGGGGGAAAGAUUUAACGCAGAAGGAGCGGCCCGCGUCUGAUUAGCUAGUUGGUGGGGUAAAGGCCUACCAAGGCGACGAUCAGUAGCUGGUCUGAGAGGAUGAUCAGCCACACUGGGACUGAGACACGGCCCAGACUCCUACGGGAGGCAGCAGUGGGGAAUAUUGGACAAUGGGCGCAAGCCUGAUCCAGCCAUGCCGCGUGAGUGAUGAAGGCCUUCGGGUUGUAAAGCUCUUUCGCACGCGACGAUGAUGACGGUAGCGUGAGAAGAAGCCCCGGCUAACUUCGUGCCAGCAGCCGCCGUAACAC